rnacentral:rRNA from 1 species
UCUUCACAAUGGACGCAAGUCUGAUGGAGCAACGCCGCGUGUAUGAAGAAGGUCUUCGGAUCGUAAAAUACUGUUGUCAGAGAAGAACACGUGAUAAAGUAACUGUUAUGGCGCUGACGGUAUCUGACCAGCAAGUCACGGCUAACUACGUGCCAGCAGCCGCGGUAAUACGUAGGUGGCAAGCGUUGUCCGGAUUUAUUGGGCGUAAAGGGAACGCAGGCGGUCUUUUAAGUCUGAUGUGAAAGCCUUCGGCUUAACCGGAGAAGUGCAUUGGAAACUGGAAGACUUGAGUGCAGAAGAGGAGAGUGGAACUCCAUGUGUAGCGGUGAAAUGCGUAGAUAUAUGGAAGAACACCAGUGGCGAAAGCGGCUCUCUGGUCUGUAACUGACGCUGAGGUUCGAAAGCGUGGGGAGCGAACAGGAUUAGAUACCCUGGUAGUCCACGCUGUAAACGAUGAAUGCUAGGUGUUGGAGGGUUUCCGCCCUUCGGUGCCGCAGCUAACGCACUAAGCAUUCCGCCUGGGGAGUACGAUCGCAAGAUUGAAACUCAAAGGAAUUGACGGGGGCCC